AGUAGUUUGAUCAGUGGCUCAGGACGACGCUGGCGGCGUGCCUAACACAUGCAAGUCGAGCGAAUGAAGUUCCUUCGGGGAUGGAUUUAGCGGCGGACGGGUGAGUAACACGUGGGCAACCUGCCUCAUAGAGGGGAAUAGCCUUCCGAAAGGGAGAUUAAUACCGCAUAAGAUUGUAGUAUCGCAUGAUACAGCAAUUAAAGGAGCAAUCCGCUAUGAGAUGGGCCCGCGGCGCAUUAGCUAGUUGGUGAGGUAACGGCUCACCAAGGCGACGAUGCGUAGCCGACCUGAGAGGGUGAUCGGCCACAUUGGGACUGAGACACGGCCCAGACUCCUACGGGAGGCAGCAGUGGGGAAUAUUGCACAAUGGGGAAACCCUGAUGCAGCAACGCCGCGUGAGUGAUGACGGCCUUCGGGUUGUAAAGCUCUGUCUUCAGGGACGAUAAUGACGGUACCUGAGGAGGAAGCCACGGCUAACUACGUG
rnacentral:rRNA from 1 species